AUACGGAGGGUGCGAGCGUUGUUCGGAAUUAUUGGGCGUAAAGAGCAUGUAGGCGGUCUGUUAAGUCUGGUGUGAAAGCCCGGGGCUCAACCCCGGAAGUGCAUUGGAUACUGGCAGACUUGAGUAUGGGAGAGGAAAGCGGAAUUCCGAGUGUAGGAGUGAAAUCCGUAGAUAUUCGGAGGAACACCAGUGGCGAAGGCGGCUUUCUGGACCAAUACUGACGCUGAGAUGCGAAAGCGUGGGGAGCAAACAGAAUUAGAAACCCCGGUAGUCC
rnacentral:rRNA from 1 species